rnacentral:rRNA from 1 species
AUUGAACGCUGGCGGUAUGCCUUACACAUGCAAGUCGAACGGUAGAGGAGCAAUCCUCGAGAGUGGCGAACGGGUGAGUAAUACAUCGGAACGUGCCCAGUCGUGGGGGAUAACGUAGCGAAAGCUACGCUAAUACCGCAUACGACCCGAGGGUGAAAGCGGGGGACUCGCAAGAGCCUCGCGCGAUUGGAGCGGCCGAUGGCAGAUUAGGUAGUUGGUGGGGGUAAAGGCCCACCAAGCCUGCGAUCUGUAGCUGGUCCGAGAGGACGACCAGCCACACUGGGACUGAGACACGGCCCAGACUCCUACGGGAGGCAGCAGUGGGAAUUUU